UUAAAUUUUAAUUUUUAAUUUAGGUUUAAAUUAAAAUUUAAAAUUAUAUAUUUAAUUUUUAAAUUUUAACUCAUAUUUUAAUUAAAAAAAUUAAAAAAAUAAAUUUAAUCCGAAUAAAUAUCCAUUCCGUCCGGAUUCAACUUUCAAUCCGGCCUCCUAGGCCGGAUUGAAAAAGAGGUGAUUGGGGGAUUCCCAUUCCACUCGGGAAUCGGAAUCGGAAUGGGACUCUCACGUACCAAACACCCACAAACGGAUUUACCCAUUCCGAUUCCGAUUUCAGGGUGGAAAAAAAGCGAACCAAACACGCCCUCAAUCUGUACGGCACUAGUGCCGUACGGCUUCUUUUUUUUUUAUUUAAUCUCACUUAUUGUAUACAUAUAAACCUAUAUAUCUAUAUAUAUAAAAUUCUAUUUAGAAAAAUCUUAUCAAAUAAGAUUUGCUCUCUCCAAUUAAAUUUUAUAAUUAAAUAUUCAUACUUAUCUAGAUCAAAUCUAGUCAAAAUUUUAUCUUAUAAAAUAUCAUAAAUAUUUAAUUAUUCUCUAAUACAAUUAGAGCUAAAAAUUAACCUCUCCAUAUCUAAUUAGAUCUUAUCUAAUUUUAUUCUUAUCCAAUAAGAUUAUUUAGUAAAUAUUUAAAUUUUAUUUAAAUAUUUUUUAUGAUUAAAUAUUAUCCACUAAUCCAAUUAGGGAUAAACUUAAAUCUCGCGCAUAAUUUUCAAACUGAUUCUGAGAUUCUAAUCUAAUUAGGACUAUCAGUAGUAAUUGACUUGAAUAAUUAAAUCUAAUUUAAUUAAGCAACUUUCUCUUAUUUUCAUUGCUUAUACUAAACUGUUUAGUGAACGACUCUCAUCGAAACGAUUCGGACGCACACAAUUCCUAAUGUGUGUGAUCGUAUAGGUUCAUUACCAUUCGGCAGUGGAGCUCAACAUCAAACUCUUUGAUAUUUAAUUAUAACUCUUUCAAUUGAUAAAUAAAAACAAUUCAAUUCGAAUCAUUCAUAUUCUCUCACCGUUCGUGAAUGACACCUAGCAGUAUAUCACGACAGUCCAGAAUGGUGAUGAAGAAUAAACCUUUCUGCUUACAGUUGCCGCGUGAUUAAUUUCUUCCAACAUACAAUGCCUCAAUCGAACUAAGGUCAUGGUUACUCGUCAAAUUUUAUCAGUCGACCAUAUGACUAGAAUAUCUGAAAUUAACUCAAAAUGACAACAUAAUUAGAAACUCUUUCGACAUAGCAUGUACCCUGGCCAGGGAUUUUUUGAGUCGAGUCCGAUAAACUAUAUAGGAUGUUCUCUUUCAUCAUUGAAAGCGUUGGAUUUUUAUUGCGCAUUCACAUGCCUUCUCGCAUAAACCCGUGUCUAUAGUCUAAAUAUUAACACUGUCAAACGGUAACAACCUAUACGUAAAGCAAGUAUGAUGUCUCAGGUUUAAAGAGUACUUCACACAACUGUAAUAAUGAACUUGUCAUUGGCGAAUAUGGAACCAUGUGACUGUUCAACUAAAUAGUCACGUUCAGUAUACUUGUUCUCUAACAAACACCUGUAUACUUGUUCUAGUGUUGACACUAGUGACUUGAGAUUCGUCACCUCAAUUAGAAAUAUAGUAUAUAUAUAUCGGCCUAUUUGGAAUAUUACCGUCCCUAUAAUAUUCCUAGGGUUAGGAGCAUUUAAAGAGUCUCGUACAGAAAAAUACACAUAUCAAAUUCCUAAUUUUUAGGAAUAUGUCUUUUCAAAAAAAGAUCCUAUGGAGGAUUCACGUUAAUAUUGUAUUGCUAUACAAUAGAUAUAAUAGAAUAUCUGCUUUUAUUAUUAUGAAUUAUAAAUAAUUAAUAUAUAAAUACCGUUAAGCCAGUGUCACCAGAUUGGCUUUUGGGCAUAUAACUAAUAUUCAGAAUAACAGGUAUAAGAGGUUAAGAGAGUUAAGCAUAUCGGGACUGAGUAGUUUUAGGAUGGAUGAUCCUCUGGGAAGCGGAGCGUCACAUUUCAAGUCUCUUUCAAUAAUUUUAGUUCAAUGAAAUUUAAAUCAAAAUCUCUAAUUAAGUAAUAAAUGGUUUCUAACUUCAUUGGCGAAGAUCAACUGAUUUAAUUAAUCCUUUGGAACUUGGCUAUAUAAAAUGGUAGUAAUAUCUCCGGCAAUAAAGAAAUAUGUUUUUUUUUUCUUUUUUUUUUUUUUGAGAGAGAUAGGUAGCACGCUACCCGCUUUGUUUAUUUAAUUUAGAAAUAAACUUAGCUGAAAAUGUGAAUCAACUAGGAUUCGAAUUUGGGUCUCGGGUACAAACCACCAAGCCUUUUGCCACUUGCUCUGGGAACGGUCGGUAUGUUGUUUUUUUUUUUUAGAGAGAAAGAUAGCAUAUAUAUUUUUUUUAAAAUAAACUUAGUUGAAAAUGUGAAUCUAUUAGGAUUCAAACUUGAGGCAUCGGAUACCAACUACCAAGCUCUUUGCACUUGCGCCAGGGACAGUCAGUUGAAGAAAUGUUUUGUUAAAUCAACUGUAAUAGACGUUUACACUAAAACACUUUUAAAUUUUUACACAAAGCCUCUUUAAAAAGCUAUAAAUCUAUAAGCUCCAACUAAGUCAAGUAGGUUACAAUAGCACAUAGCUUAACAUUUCGCUUAGAAUAAAUGUGCUACCUACACUCCAAACACUUAUUAAAAAAAAAAAACUUCAAAUACUACAAGGACACGUGGCCUGUUUUCAGAUUAGGACGUGGGAAAAGACGAGUUUCGUGACAUGUAGCAGAUGGCUUUUGCAUUUAUACCCUUGGAAGUACGUGAAAUUGUGAUUCUUAUAAAUUAUUACAGCAAAUUUAGAUGUUCUUUUACCAAAACUAGUUCCCCUUAAGACACUGCUAGACUAUUGCCUUUUUUUUUAAAAAAAAAAUCUACACAAUAACUAAUAAAUCUAUAGUUUUAGAUGAGAGCUAAUAUCUUAGAUAUAUAAAAAAUAUUGUUAGAAAAUUGUUUGGUUGUUUUGACAAGAAAAGGAAAACAAAUACGCAAAAAUAGCAAAAAAAAUAGAAGUUGAAAAUAAUUUAACGGAAUCUUUUAUUGAAUUCAUCCUGAAAAACUAAUUUUGUAUUUUUUUUAACUAUCUCAUCAGUGUCUCUUAAAAUAUAUAUAUAUAUAUAUAAUCUAAAAUAAGUGGACACUUAGUAUUUACAAAUAACUAAAAUCUUUAAAAGCACACAUAAAUCAAAGGCUUCGUUUGGGAUUGCGGGGAGAUUGCGUUACGUGCGGUGAGAAAGUACGUUGGAAAAAUAUCCUGUUGGUUUUCGUACGUAAUAUUGCAUUCCGCAUAUCGUGAUAAGUCGGUUACGAUAUAUUUUUUGCAGUCCCACCGGAGUACGCAGAAGUAUAUCCCAAUAUGCUUUUUCUUCAACUCUAUUUUAUCUAAUAACAUUAGAUAGAGCCUAAUACCAAACUAAGUCUAAGUAUUCAAAAUUUAAUACAUUUUCUAGAAUAUGUGUGCAAAAAUUUAAAGAAUCAGAAAGAAUUAUACUACACAUGCAACCAAAUAAAAAUGUAUGAUAUACAUUCUAUCAAUCUUAAGAUGAAAAUUUUUAACUAGUCAAAAACAUCUCAUCUUAGAUAAAUAAAAUGUGCGUCAUACACUUUUUCUUUUUUUCUUUUUUUCUUUUUUUUUUUUUUUUUCUCUGGAGGGGGAUAGAAGUAGCCUUUUUCCGGGUAAGGAGAUCAUCAUCAGAUCACCUUCAGUUAUUCAUCGAAGGCUCCGCAAAUGCACUAUAAAAGAAAACACCACAACCUCUCGCCCCUCUCCACGCGUCUCUUUCCUGAAAGGUGUCCAAGUUGUCCUCGAUUCACUUCUCUAUUUAGCAUCACAUACUACGACCGCGGAAGAUUCUUGCUAACCGUCAAAAGAUCCCCCUCCUCUUUCGCUCUCUCCCCCCCCCCCACAUCUCUCUCUAAAACCCUAGGGUUUAGGUCUUUAGCCCAUCGGAUUCCCCCCCACCUCUCCCCCGCUCGAUCGCGAUGGGCCUUGUCGUCAUCGUCCUCGUCGUCCUCCUCGUCGGUUGAGAGGGCGGGGAAAGGGUGGGGGGCCCCGGUAAUGGCGGAGCUCGAGGAAGGGACGGGGGAGAGCUCGUCGCCGCCGAGGGGAUUCCGCGGCGGCGUGCACGUGUUGUGCGACAUCAGGAACCAGAUCUACGCUCGGCUCGUCGAGAGCGGAUGCGAGGAGGCCGUCGCCGAUCCCGAUCGCUUCCGCAAGCAGCUCGAAGCCCACUUCGAUCGGUUCCCUGAGAGGUAGUUUUUUUUUUAUCUCUUGGUUUGAUGAAUCGCUUCUCCUAUGUGCUAUUUUUGAGGAUUUCGCGGCUCAUUUGAUCGAGAAGUUCGGGGUACUUAUCGAUCGUAGUAGCUUGUAGAGAGUUGAUAUAGCUUCUGUAAGUUCCGAUCUCUAUCAUCUGUUUCCGAUCUCUAUCAUCUGUUAUGGAAAUAGAGUGGAUGUGUUCAGUUUUAGAGUUGGCUCUUAUUUCAAUCCCUUCCGAUAAUUUGAGUUUGUGUUUUUCAUUGCUUGGUUUUUCAAGAAUUUCAUGGAAUUGAUGAUAGCGGAUUGUAGAAAGUUGGUUUAAGCUCUAAUAGUUAGUGGUUUUUCAUCUAGGUGAACAUGGACGGCGACCACCUAGUACUGGCCAUCUUGAAAUGGCCUUCUCAGCUUAUGUUUCUUUGUAUUGACACCCCUUAAAUUUUCUUUUCUUUUCUUUCUUUUUUUUUUUGCCCCCCUGAAUUUGGUGAUUUUACUAAUUAUAUUGAGGGUCACCAGUGAUCCUGUCAAAUUUACCGUCUUUAAUCACUUCACAGUAAAGAAAACUAGAAUAGUUAAUGGCUAAUAGCUCAUAGAGCCAUUAAAUUCAACAAAAUUUUUAGCAUAAUUAAUUGGAAACAACUCAAAUGGGAAAAAUUGGAAGUUGAGAGGGAGGUCAAUAAAAAUAAUGUGUAGCUGAGGGGUCUAUUUUACAUAUUUACUUUACAUUGUAGGGAAAUGGUGUUGUCUUUGAUUUACAGUCAUUUAUGACAUUAUGUAUUCUUCAGUUAUUCUCUGGACGUACAUGCUGCUAGAGCGGAGGAUGUUCUGUUGCAUCAGAAGAUUCUUGCUGAAUCUGAGGACCCAAAGAAUCGCCCGGUCUUCCAUGUCCGGUUUCUAAAGGUGCUGAACGUUGAGCAUGCUUGCCAUAGGAAUAUGAUAUUUUUUCUUUCUUUUAUCUAUGUCCUAAGAUGCCACUAAAAUUUUAACUGUCUUUUAAACUCUCUAUGGAAGAUGCCACUAAAAUUUUGAUUAUUGCCUUUAUUCUAGAAAACAAGCUACAAUCUGUUCUGCCAGCCAUUAUUUUAUAGCUUUUCGUUCAGAAGCAGAUGGGAGGAAAAGAAACUUUGUGUCUUUGCUACAUAUAUCACUUUUUCUAUCUCACUUCUUUGGUUUUUUUUUUCCCCCAGAAUAAUUUCAUUUUCUGCCAAACAUUAUCAUAAAAUGUUUCACUUCAGGAUUGCUCUUUUUACUGAGCAGUAUAUUUCGGUUGAAUUUGACUAGAAUGAUGAUAUGCAACCAUCCCCAUAUAUUGGUUCGUCUUCAGAAGGAUGCCAUAGUAACGGUAAUAAAGGUGAUCUCCCACCAAAUAGAAGGUGCUGAUUCAAAUUGACUCGUAUCCCUUACUAUUUUCCUCAAUUUUAUCCCAUUUGAUUGAGUGAGAACAUGCCAUUGACUUUAAGGAUGGCGCUUCACUUCUUGCUCAACUUCUGUUUGGCUCGUCCUAACCUGCCUUCUCAAUUCCCAUUGCAUAGUUUCCUUUCAUUGUAUGUUCAUGGUUAAUGCUUUAGCUAAUGGGGAUUGCAGGAUUGAGUUUGAACCUUGCUCAAGGCUUGAAGACCUGAAUUUGAACAUGAGAAAAAUUUCCAAGGACAUUGAGGAUAGAAGUGAUCCAUCGGAAGCUCUUUCUACAAGGUUUAAGUUUAGCUUGAAAAUAUAGUCACUUUCAUGAUUAUACUUUAAUGUUUGCUUAUGCUUGUUCAAAGUAAACAAAAUUAUACAACAAAAACCUGAAAUUUGCACUUCUCUUUGUUUGGUUAUCACAGAAAUGUUGUACAUAUUCAUCAGUAAUGUUUUUUUUUUGCUUGACGCAGCUCAACUAGGCCUGGACUCUUCCUUUUGAUUUUAUACUUCCAUCAUAUAAAUUUCUAAUGCUCAAUAGAAUAUUUCACAAUAAUAGAGCCUAAAGAUUAUUGGUAUUAUUAAGUUUGCUAUAUGUACGUCUUUUUAUUCUUAGGAUUACUGCCACAUUUUGUGCAUAAAAUCGUGGUGUUUGGGUUGAUUUUUUUUUUUUGUAAAUUAAUGAUAUAGUAACUUGAAGCAGCUGUAAGAAGUUAAGGAGACAUAAGAAAUACAUAACAUGCUUUAUUGCUAAUCACAUUGAGAAGUUAAGGAGACAUAAGAAAUACAUAACAAAGAAAGGUGCGACCAAUUUUGAGUAAUGUUAAUCACAUUGAGAAAAAUGAACCGUUAACCUUUAUUGCUAUGUUGUGAUUUAAUGUCACUUCUAGAGGAUGGCAUUUAAAUGGAGUUCCUAUUAUCAUAGUAGGAAUUUGUUUUAUGCUAAUAGUGAUCUAUUAUGAAUGUUUUAGGCGGAUUUGAUGAAAUUUCGGGUGCAUAUGAAUAUGUGCUGGGAUAGCAUAGCAUAUUCUAAAGUUAGAAAUGUCGCUCCAUCUUAUAUGCCUAUACAUAGGGAUAUGAGCAAAAAUUUAUGAAAUUGCAAAGUAUGACUGAAAGGAAAUUUGUUGCACCCUGUAUGAUUAUUCUCUUCACAAAUACAUCUUACAGUUAUGAAAAAUGGACUCAUUGAAGUGUAGCAUAUGACAUUGAUUUUUGUUUUCCAGCUUGUGAGAUUCUUUGUAUGGAUUAUGCACAGCAAUUUGAAGGUGAACAAGCUAUUGUUAUGUUGAUGUAGUCAGAUUCCUAGAUUAAAUGCAUCCGGUGUUUUUUGAUUGUCCUGCAGUUAUCGUCGCAUAUCCUUUAGGUUUCUCUUUCUGGACAUCACUAUUUGAAAAGGCGUGCCUGGUGUGUGUCUCAGCGCCUAGGCGCGAGGUGCUUACCUCAGCGCCUCAGCAAACCUAAGGCGCAUCAUGCUUGCUGAGGUGCACGCCUAGGCUCUGAGGAGCGCCUAGGCACGCGCCUCAUUUUAUUUAAGUUUUAUAGCAUUUUGGCUUCAGGUUAUUAGGUUCUCGGGUUCUCAAAUUUUAUCAUUAUAUUUUAGGCCAUUAAGGAAUUUAAAGAGACCCUAAAAGGAACCCCAAAAAGAACCCUAAAAGGAUCCUAUUCUCUCCCUCUCAUGUUCUCCCAUCUCAGAUCGCUCUCUAACAUUAACCAGCACCAGCGGCAAGGAACGACAAGCAGCAGGAAGCAGCGGCUACAAGCAACAGUGGUAGCAGCGGGAACAGGCAGUAACGGCGGCAAGCAGUAGCAUGUGGCCUCUAUACUCUAGAUCUUCUAUUUUGAACCUAUAUUUAGUUAUUUUUUUAUAGGAUUUGAUGUUUUGGUGAGGUUUUCUUCUUUUUUUUUUUCAUUUUUUUUACUCUUUUUGUUUAGUUGCACAUAUGUAAUUCCUUCUUUGUGUUGUUUGUUCGAUUAUUCUCUUAGAUUUUCUUUUCAGACUCUUUGUGAAUUUAAUUUUUCUAAUCUUAAAAUUUUAUUCUUAAUUUGUUGUUCUCUAAUUUUUAUUGACUCCUUUUUUAUGUAGAAGUUCAAAUUAAGCUAUACUUGUUAAGGAUAUUUUAUUUUUAUUAUAUGUGCGCCUCACCUUCUUGAGGUGCGCGUCUUGUGGUGCGCCUUGCGCCUAGGCUUCAGUAGGUCUUUGCACCUCAUUGUGCCUCGCGCCUUUUCAACCACUGCUGGACAUAAAGUUGGCCAGUGUGGCUCUUAUGUCUUGAAAACAGAAUUUGUAAACAACAAAGGGCUGGGUAUUGAUGGGAAGCUAACGUGCAGUUGUAGAAAGACUUAUAGCUAGCUACAUCUUGAGGAUUAAAAAAUAUAAAAUACAACUAAGGCGAAUAAAAAGAAAAAGAAAACAUAGCACUUGUUCAACAAAGGAGAUUCCAAAUAGCAAUUUUUGUCUUUUUACAGGUGCAAUUACCUAAAACCUUAAAAAGACUAAUUAUAUUUUGUUCCCAACGCGUUUAUAUCGAAGGAUUUUUUGAUUGAUGGUAUAUGCAUGCCAUUCAUGCCAAAUUGUCUUGUAAGCAUCCCAAGCACAUGAAAUCCCCUAUGAAUACAAGAAGGGAUGGCAUUCCUUACUUCAACCCAAAAGUCCUUCACACAGCAAUCAUCAGAGUAUGGAAGGCGAUUGGCGAUUUGGGUGGUAUAGAAUUUAGAAAAAAAUUUCUCCACAACAAUCAUUGGAGGAUGGAACACAAUCCGACAAUAUAGGUGGUAUAGAUUUUAGAAAAGGUUUUCUUGGAGAAGCUACAUUGCACAAAGACAAAGAGUAUCAGUCUCUUGGCUCCUUGCAAGGGCAACCUCGCUUGGCCAAAUUCUCAGCAUAACUAGUUUUGUUGCACACCGACCAAAGAAAGACUAUGCACAGUAGUCUUCCAUAGAAUAAAAGCAAAAUUGUCACGCACUCCAUCGUUGAUAAAUUAUAGAUAGGUUGAGUAGGUAGAAAAGGAACCGUUGGGCGUUCACCUCUAAGUAAUGUGAUCUGAAUAAGUUGUUUAUUGUAAACUUUGAAGCUCAGAAGAUAGAUUCUACAAUUCUAUCACUGUUGUUGUGAAAUGAAACAAUAUUUAUGAGAGGCUGGUCGUGAAGGACAACAGAUUAGGGUAUUGGUUGGCUAAUGUGCCACAGUCAAUCCAGGAUGAAAAACAAAAUGGAUGAAUGAGGCCAUUUGUCAUGUUGAAAUGAGAAGAGGUGGCAAAUCUGCAGACUGAUGUCCAAAUAGGUGAAACUCUACCUAAUUUUGUUGAUAGAAUAAAACAUGGAAGACGCCUUAUAUAAUAGGGGCUAGAGAUUAAAUCUAUUGUAGGUCCAAGUCGUCAAAAAAAUUACACCACCACCUAAGGAGGGCUUUGUUUUGAACUUUAAAAUUUUUAAUUUCCAAUUUGCCGAGAAUUUGAGGCUUGUAAAUAUAUUUCCAUUUGGCUAUGCAAAGCCAAUUACUGAUGUUGGACUUGCCUUCCAAAAGAAAGAUUGCCUAAUGGCACCGAUCAUUUUAAUCACCCAUUUUGGUAGCUGAAAACUGACAUGAAAAAGGUGGGAAGAGGUAAGAGUACAGAGUUGAUGAGGAGUCUCUCUCCUAUGGACAAAGAAGUCCCCUUCCAGCUGGCCAGCCUAUGUUUGAAUUGUAUGAUGAGCGAAAGGUAGUCUUGGCAUGUUUGCCUGUGAGGUGACACUGAAAAAUUUUGAAUAAUGGAUGGGAAAAGAUUCUGGUUGACAGCCAAAGACUUGCGCUAGCAUCGGAAUAUUGUGUUCGUUGGAGCCUAUUUAAAGGAUGGCACAUUUAAUAAGUUAAUUGUGAGUCCAAUUGUUGAAUAGAAAGUUAGUAGGUGUUUGAUCACCACUAUUUGAUUAGUGUCUGCAUCCAUGAGCAAUACUGUAUCAUUAGCAAAUUGAUGGGAGUUGAGGGUGCAGUUAGACUUGCUAAUAGCAUUGAGGUAACUGCAGUCAGCGGCUUGAAACAAGAGUUUCUUAAGCACAUCCACUGCAAUAAUGAACAGAAAUGGAGAUAGGGGGGUCUCCUCGGACACCAUGCAAGUAAUUAUAGGUUUUUAUAGGUUUUGCAAGUAAUUAAAAAGUAUGGCAUAGAUUGGAGUAUGGACGUAAUCCGAGAGGUCCGCCAAUGGUCAAGUAGUUUCAAGAGGAACCCAGGGUAAAAUCAAAUCUUGAUCAAGACAACGUCUCUAUUGGUUUUCAGGUCAUUGUUGAUGAGCUUAUAAGCUGUAGCAAAAGCGUCCAAUAUAGAUUGCUUCUUGGUGAAUGCAGAUUGUGUGGUAGAAAGGAGAUCCACAAGGAGACGCUGAAGAUAUUGGCAUGACUUUUUUAAAUAAUCUUAGCAACAUUGUUAAGAAGAUAAAUUGGAUUAUAGUCGUUGGCCAAGUAGGUAUCAGAACAUUUAGCUACAAGAGCAGUCCAGCUCAUAUUAAUUGCCUUAGAUUUUGCCGUAGUCAAAGUCAGGAAAUAGAGCUAGAUUCUCGUCCCUGAGCAUGUUCCAAUAUCUUUGAAAGAAUGCCUGUGGAAUCCAGAUCAUUUGUCUACUGAAUGGCGUCGUUUGUUAUGUUGCUAAUGCUAUCAUUGUUUUAUUUUCUUUUUUCUCAUUGAGCGGAUUUUCAUCUGAACCUUGAAUGUCGGUGUAGCUCACUUGAUUUGUUACAAAUAUAUCAUACAUUAACUAAUAGUUAUCUUCUUUUUGUAAGUAUUCUGAAGGCUUUAUUCUUAUUCAAAUAUUUCUGAAGAAUUUUAGUUUCAAAAAGGUCUAUAGUUGGUCAGCUUUGUGGUCGAACUGCGCUACUUACUAAAAAUAAUUUAUCGAAUUUCAUAAUUUGCAGGAAUGACAUCAGGCAUGUCCCUAUCCACGAAAUAACUUUCUCCUCCAUUGACAAGCCCAAGGUGCUUUGUCAGGUACAAAGAAGAAACUUAUAUAUAGAUAUGCAUGGAAUCGCUAAUUUGCAGAUGCAAACUUGGGCUUCUAGUGUCCAUAGAAACUGGUUUCUUAUUUUUUUUUGUCAAAUAUCUUUUUCUGAUUUAUUUGGGUUACGUACAUUUAAGUGAUAAUUGAUCAUUUACUUUCUUGACCUGAUGUGAUAAUACAUUAUAUUUCAGCUUUAACAGAUAUUUGACAACCAGAUUGACAUAACUACAUGCUUUCCUAUCUACAUACUUUUUUAUUUUUAUAUUUAUACAUGAGAGCAACAUGCAUCUUUUCUCUUCUUUCCUUCGUACACUUUUCAUAUGAAGUUUCAUAUCAUAUGUGAUGAUUUUGCAGUUGUCUGCCGUGCUCUCUGAUGUUGGCUUAAACAUUCGUGAAGCUCAUGUAUUUUCAACAUUGGAUGGCUAUUGCUUAGAUGUGUUUGUUGUUGAUGGAUGGUUUACAGAGGUAGGUUUCUUGACUUCAGUGAAUAAACCUUUUGUGUUGCCAAGGAGGUAUCGCUUAAGAAUGUGGCUGAGUUUAUUUUUAUUUUUUUACCCUACUUUAGAGCUCUAUUUAUUGUCAAUUCUCACUUAGAUGAUUUCCACUUCGGAAUAGAUUUAUGAUUUUGUAAGGUGGACGAUUAGGUAAGAGAUUAACAGAAAAGGUGUGUAAUUUCAACGUAUGUUGUAUGCUGCAUAACUUUUGAAAAUUAAAACUCUUUCAAAAGAAUAAUCUAUGGAAACAAAUGUAUUUCUGUUGAAUGUUGUUAAAAUAUAAAAAUGUUUAAACAUCGUUAUCUAACAGCUUAAGCUUUUAGAGUACAACGGUUGUUUCACAUGGUAUCAGAGCAGGAGGUCCUGAGUUCGAGUCACGCCAGGCUCCUAACAUAUUAAUUUCCUCCCAUUUAAUUCAAGCCUACGUCAUGGGCCGAUUAAAAAGUCUCGAGCUCAGACGUGAGGGGGAGUGUUAAAAUAUAAAAAUGUUUAAACACCGUUAUCUAACAGCUUAAGCUUUUAGAGUACAACGGUUGUUUCACAUGGUAUCAGAGCAGGAGGUCCUGAGUUCGAGUCACCAGGUUCCUAACAUAUUAAUUUCCUCCCAUUUAAUUCAAGCCCACGUCAUGGGCCGAUUAAAAAGUCUCGAGCCCAGACGUGAGGAGGAGUGUUAAAUAUAAAAAUGUUUAAACACCGUUCUCUAACAGCUUAAGCUUUUAGAGUACAACGGUUGUUUCACAUGGUAUCAGAGCAGGAGGUCCUGAGUUCGAGUCACGCCAGGCUCCUAAUAUAUUAAUUUCCUCCCAUUUAAUUCAAGCCUACGUCAUGGGCCGAUUAAAAAGUCUCGAGCUCAGACGUGAGGGGGAGUGUUAAAAUAUAAAAAUGUUUAAACACCGUUAUCUAACAGCUUAAGCUUUUAGAGUACCACGGUUGUUUCACAAAUAUAAAUAUUGAAAACACUGUUUUUUGGUAGCUUAAGUUAUUGGAGAACAAUGGUUGUUUGACAUUCUUACAAAUGUAUUUCUAUUGAAUGUAAAUAUUGAAAACAUUGUUCUCUGGUGGCUUAAGUUAUUGGAGAACAACGGUUGUUUGACAUUUUUUAACAUGAUAUUAGAGUAGGAGGUUUUGUGUUCAAGUCCGGCUAGACUGCGAACAUUAUUUAAUUUCCUCNGAGAACAAUGGUUGUUUGACAUUCUUACAAAUGUAUUUCUAUUGAAUGUAAAUAUUGAAAACAUUGUUCUCUGGUGGCUUAAGUUAUUGGAGAACAACGGUUGUUUGACAUUUUUUAACAUGAUAUUAGAGUAGGAGGUUUUGUGUUCAAGUCCGGCUAGACUGCGAACAUUAUUUAAUUUCCUCUCAUUUAAUUCAAGUCCACGUCUUGGGUCUCUCAAAAUGUUUCGAGCCCAUGUGAGGGAGAAUGUUGAAUAUAAAUAUUUAAAACAAUGUUUCUCUAAUAGCUUAAAUUGUUGGAGAACAACGGUUGUUUCACAUUCUUUAGCAAAUUCCAUUUUACAAAAUUUUUCUGGUCUUUGUUAGAGAGGGAACCAUUUCAGGAACAAUGUGCUGCAUUAGUAGACACCCCAUGAAAAUGAGAACCACUGGAGAUUGGAAAACAUUAUUGCAGGGAUUUUAUAGUCUUGUUUAUAUUCCAAUUCCCGCUAAACCCAUUAAUAUGGCAGCAGAAGAAUUACUGCUAGAAUAGUCAAUCUGAACUAUAUUCUUGAUAAUCUAUAGUUUUGUGAGAUUUUUGGAGAACAACUUUCAAAUAAAGCAGUCAGAAUAUUGGGAUUCACCUGGAAUACAAAGUGAACAAAAACAUGAACUGUAUUAUGCCCAGGUUUUCCUUAAACUAGGUCUGUCCAUGCUGCGCAGAUAUAGGUUUGUGUGCUUAUGUGCAACUUGUAUUGUGGUCUGUUGCAUUUAUAGCAUGCGAGGUGUAAUUUUGCAUGCUAUAGGACUUUGUCAUUGAUUCCUUAACCCAUAUGACCAAAUAAAACUUUGUCGUUGUGGUUCAAUGUAUGAUAAAUGAUGCAACCGCAGAGGCUUUAAUAAACUAUUAAGGAACCUUGUGAUUCUAUUUUCUUUAUGGCAGGGAUAUUUUCCAAGCCAAAAUGUUGCUGACUUUGCAAUCAUAUGCUCAGGGGACAGAUGAUCUGCUCAAGGAGCUCAGGGAGGCGGCAACAAGAAAUAAUGUAUGUUACUUUCUUCAUCUGAAUUCUGUAAGCUCUCCCAGAUGUACCCUUUUCCUUUUCAUUGGUUAGAAAGUUAUUGUCUGCACCAGUGCACCAUGCAAGCCAUGCAGCAUCCAGUGAGAUGCCAUUCCCCUCAUUCCAUACUUGAAUAGCUGCUGCCUAGGGAGUUGAAGUAUAUUCUUGAUAUACAUAUUACUUUUGAAGAAUGAGUGGAAUGGUUGGAUUAUGUGUUAGGUGGGACUAAUCACAAAUGGCAUCUCACUGGGUGGAGCACAGCCAAAGUAAAGCAGGAGAUGCAGGCAAUAAAUUUUCUGUUAAUGGGCUGUUCUUUCUGUUCUUCUUGUGAAAUUAUGGCUUCAAGGUUUCUUCCAUUACAAGUUAUGUAAAAAGUUCUGUUGUUUUAUUACAGCAUUUGUCGAGAGUAAUCAUCAUCCAUCUUUAGGAAAAUCUUCUCUAGACCCCUGUUCCACUUUACAGUCAAAAGGAAAAAAGAAGAAUCUGUUGUUCUUGUGAAUUUAUGGCUUCAAGGUUUCUAUCCAUUACAAGUUAUGGAAAAAGUUCUCUUGUUUUAUUACAACAGCAUUUGUUGAGAGUAAUCACCAUCUAUCUUUAGGAAAAUCUUCUCUAGACCCCUGUUCCACUUUACAGUCAAAAUUUUACUUCCGAUUAGCUUCUCCAACAAGCAAUUGACUUCGUGGCCAUCUUGUUCCGCCUAGUUCAGCAUCUGUAAGUAGGGAGCUAGGCCUUCGUAAAAAAUAAGUCACCUUCUCAUCCAAGAGGUGAGCAUAUGUAAGCAACUUGUGAAGUGUGUGCUUUUGGAGUUUAUGCUGUGACAUGAGAGGAGUGUGGAUGGUACAAGAGAUAAAAGUGAGGCCUAGUAGGUAAUUGUGAGAGAAGUUUUGGGUUAGUAAUUGGUGAGUUGUGUGGUGUGCAAGAUAGGUUUAUGUGAAAUGUAUGGAGUGUGCUGUGAGCAAAGUGUCCCUAAGUUUCUUUUGUAAGUUUUGUAUUGAUUAAACAAAAAUAUAGUGUGAUCCCAUUGCUUCCAAUUCUUCUACAUUUACAAAUAGGCCCAUUACAUCGAAUGAUGCCAUCAGGUUUCCAUGCAUCUGCAAAAGGAUUUAUUAACAAUUUGAGUAUUUUCUGUUUUACAUGUAGGUUCUGUUGUCUGGCUCGCUGCAUUCUUCAGCCUCAGGCAGAAUACUUGAACUGCACCAAAGAGUUGCUGACACGGAUAUUGACACAAAGUUCUUGAAAAUGGGAGAGAAGAUUGCAGUUGGUUCUUGUGGAGACUUGUGAGUUGGGAAUUAUAGGAUAGCUUGCUACUUCUAUUUGAUUUUUCUUUUUCAGGAAAGAAGUUUAUUAUUUUUCAGAAGCUCUAUACUAGAUAAAAUUCAUUCCAGCUUGUAUGUACAGAUUUCGUGGAACUUAUCUCGGUCUGGAUGUUGCAAUAAAAGUUCUUAGAUCUGAGCGUCUAAGUGAAGCUUUACAAGUCGAGUUCGAUCAAGAAGUGAUGAUUUUAAGGUAACAUUUCACCAUGUUAAUCUUCUAGAUAUUUUGUAUUGCUUACAUUUCUUACGUAGUAUGAAAGUUGCUCCAUCAGUUUUUAAUGCCCUACACUUCUGUAACUAUCCAAAUUACUUUAAUUGUGGCCUCAGGAAAGUAGAUCAUAUUAAUGUCGUUCGUUUCUAUGGGGCAUGUACAAAACCUCCAGAUCUUUGCAUCAUAACAGGUAAUUCUUAAAAUUUCUCAUGACAUUGAUUAGAUAGCUCAUUUAUCGCAAGCAUUUCCUCUAGUAUUUAACAGUUGUCCAGCAGAGCAUUGUUUGCUAAGAACUAUAAUAACUAAACAAAGAUCAUAUAUACUGAAAAAUAAAAGCAGCUAUUCUAGUGAACAAAGUAUCAUUCAGUUUGACGGGCUGUCCCAUUUCACUGAUACAGAGUACAGACUCGGGUAAAAGCUUCCCAUUUUUAUGUCAAAGGCGUGUUGAUGUUUGCUUAUGUUGUGGAAUAGCAUAUUAAAUUUUUUUUCAUAUUAUAUUUUGCUCUGUGCUUAAAGAACUGUGCUGUCUUGAUUUUUGAUCCCUUUCAAAUCAAUGUUUGUUUUCAUUCUUUGUUGGAAUGUGGUUUGUGUCAUUUUUCUUUCAGAUAAUGCAAAUGCUUGUAAUAUUAUAUUUUGUCACAUUAUUUAUGCAAUGCCAUGAACUUAUUGUUUUAUUCUUUACUAUGUUUUCUCCCAGUAAUGUGGAAGUUCACUAUCAUCUUUUUGUUACAGCUUUCUUAAUUCUUAAUAUCUUUUCAGAAUACAUGCAUGGGGGAAAUCUCUAUGACUAUCUGCAUAAGCAAGAACGUGUUUUGGAGCUCUCCGUAUUGCUAAAGAUUGCUAUAGAUGUCUGCAAAGGAAUGGACUAUUUGCACAAGAAUAACAUUAUACAUAGAGAUUUGAAGACUGCCAACCUGCUCAUUGACCGAAACCAAGUAUGUAAUUCCUCUCAAUAAAAAGGCUCAACAAUUGUAUCAUAUAAUAUUAUUUACUUUUUCAUGUAUUUGUUGUUAUCUGGAAAUUCUCCUCAAUACUUGUUUAUGGCAAAUUCUCUAAAAUAUUUGCUUAUAAUGUAAACCUACAUACAAUUCAAAGGCAAAUUCUAAUGGUAAUCUAAAUCUUUCCACUAUAUAUAACAUAAUACUUAUUGAAUUAUAUAGUGUUAAUGAUAGUAGGACACCUAGAGAAUUAUUUAUAUAGUUGUUGAAGAGCAUUCGUGCUUAUUUUUUUGGGUAAAAUGUGGGGACAGUCCUUGAAGUAUUACCAAUGUUUCACAUGAACACUUUAGUCCCUGAAUUUUCUCAUAUUGCAAUUCUAUCCCUGGCCAAUAAAAAAUAUCUUAUCAUUUCCUGUAGAAUGACCUUUUAAAUGAUAUUUCAAGUAUACGAAAGCAAGUUAAGGAAGUUAUUUAACAUAACAAUUAAACUGGUUAUUUUACCGGAAAAGCUUAGAUUGUUUUUUUAUCCAGUCAGGGAUGAAAAUGUAUGGGAAAGUUCAAGGACUACGAGCAUGUUUGUUUCAUCGAAACUGGACUUUGGGUUGAAGUGAACUUUGGGUUGAAGUGAAGUUCGGUGAAAACUACUUCUUUCCCAUUGUUUGUUUCGUAGUUGUGGAAGUGAAGUUUCAUUAGUUCUGCUGUUUGUUUGGUAGGAAGUGUAUGAUGUAACAUUAUAAUUUAUAUAUAAAUAAUAAAUAAUUCAAUAUAAAAAUAAUAUAAUUAUUUUUUUAUACGUAAACUAUAGUAAUACAACAAUAAAAUUAUAAAGUAAAAAAUUAUUAAUACUUAAUUAAUCAAUUUCUAUCAUAUUUUAAUUGUACAAACUAAAAUAAAAAAAUAUUAAAACUUAAUUAAUCAAUUUUUAUCAUAUUUUAAAUAUGCCAACUGAAUAAAAGAGUAAUUAGUACCAUAAUUAAAUAUAUUUAAAUAUAACUAUCUUUACCU
rnacentral:lncRNA from 1 species